rnacentral:lncRNA from 1 species
ACAGCUUUGACAAAAGUCCACAGCCAGUGUGUUCCAAGUCCCCGCACAGGGCUGGCUGUGGCAGGGGACACUCUCCUGCUGGCUCUCUGUGUCCACACUUAGCUGGCUCCUGUCCUCAGGUGCACGACCACACCCUUGCACCCAACCUUGAUCCCCUGGUGGGGAAAGUCAGGACUUGUCAGCUGGGACAGGCCUCGCCACAGGAGCUCU